GAUACGGGACUCAUCCGAGGCCCCGUAAUCGGAAUGAGUACACUUUAAAUCCUUUAACGAGUAUCCAUUGGAGGGCAAGUCUGGUGCCAGCAGCCGCGGUAAUUCCAGCUCCAAUAGCGUAUAUUAAAGUUGUUGCGGUUAAAAAGCUCGUAGUUGGACUUGUGUCCCGCGCUGUCGGUUCACCGCCCGUCGGUGUCUAACUGGCAUGGUUCGCGGGACGUCCUGCCGGUGGUGGCGAGUCCCUAGGUUGCCCGUGCUUCGGUUCGCCGUUGUACGUAAGUGGCCUAGAGGCGAACCCCGAUGAAAUCCUGUCCCGGUGCUCUUUAUUGAGUGUCGAGUCGGGCCGGCACGUUUACUUUGAACAAAUUAGAGUGCUUAAAGCAGGCCGGUCGCGCCUGAAUAUUGUGUGCAUGGAAUAAUGGAAUAGGACCUCGGUUCUAUUUUGUUGGUUUUCGGAACCCGAGGUAAUGAUUAAUAGGGACAGUCGGGGGCAUUCGUAUUGCGACGUUAGAGGUGAAAUUCUUGGAUCGUCGCAAGACGAACCGAAGCGAAAGCAUUUGCCAAGUAUGUUUUCAUUAAUCAAGAACGAAAGUUAGAGGUUCGAAGGCGAUCAGAUACCGCCCUAGUUCUAACCAUAAACGAUGCCAGCUAGCGAUCCGCCGAAGUUCCUCCGAUGACUCGGCGGGCAGCUCUCGGGAAACCAAAGCUUUUGGGUUCCGGGGGAAGUAUGGUUGCAAAGCUGAAACUUAAAGGAAUUGACGGAAGGGCACCACCAGGAGUGGAGCCUGCGGCUUAAUUUGACUCAACACGGGAAACCUCACCAGGCCCGGACAC
rnacentral:rRNA from 1 species